rnacentral:rRNA from 1 species
GAUGAACGCUGGCGGCGUGCCUAAUACAUGCAAGUCGAGCGAACAGAUGAGGAGCUUGCUCCUCUGACGUUAGCGGCGGACGGGUGAGUAACACGUGGAUAACCUACCUAUAAGACUGGGAUAACUUCGGGAAACCGGAGCUAAUACCGGAUAAUAUAUUGAACCGCAUGGUUCAAUAGUGAAAGACGGUUUUGCUGUCACUUAUAGAUGGAUCCGCGCCGCAUUAGCUAGUUGGUAAGGUAACGGCUUACCAAGGCAACGAUGCGUAGCCGACCUGAGAGGGUGAUCGGCCACACUGGAACUGAGACACGGUCCAGACUCCUACGGGAGGCAGCAGUAGGGAAUCUUCCGCAAUGGGCGAAAUCCUGACGGAGCAACGCCGCGUGAGUGAUGAAGGUCUUCGGAUCGUAAAACUCUGUUAUUAGGGAAGAACAAAUGUGGAAGUAACUAUGCACGUCUUGACGGUACCUAAUCAGAAAGCCACGGCUAACUACGUG